rnacentral:rRNA from 1 species
UACGUAGGGGGGCAAGCGUUGUCCGGAUUUAUUGGGCGUAAAGAGCGUGUAGGCGGUUCGGUAGGUCCGUUGUGAAAACUCGAGCUCAACCUCGAGACGCCGAUGGAAACCCCCGAACUAGAGUCCGGAAGAGGAGAGUGGAAUUCCUGGUGUAGCGGUGAAAUGCGCAGAUAUCAGGAGGAACACCGGUGGCGAAGGCGCUGCUCUGGGCCGAAACUGACGCUGAGGAGCGAAAGCGUGGGUAGCAAACAGG